rnacentral:lncRNA from 1 species
GCGAAGCUAGGACUUUUGUAUAGUGGGUGCACUAUUAAUUACAAAAGAAAGGAAGAUAUAAGAAGAGAUUGAACCUGGGUUGUAAGGGGGUGCAGAACCUAUGUUUUACCAUCAGAUCUACCAAAUCUAUAUUAUUUUUUCUCACUAAAUUUGAAAGAUAGAUAUUAUUACGGGUGCACAUGCACCCAUAGAGUAUAAGGUGGCUUCGCCCC